ACAUCGCUAGAAAAAUAUUUCCAGUCAAACCUGCCCAGUGAUUUAUUUAACGGCCGCAGUAUCCUAACUGUGCUAAGGUAGCAUAAUCAUUAGUUUUUUAAUUAAAAACUCGUAUGAACGGUUCGACGAGAAAUUUUCUGUCUCUAAAAUACAAAAAACUUACUUUUAAAGUCAAAAAGCUUUAAUAUUCCUAUAAGACGACAAGACCCUAUAAAACUUUACCUUUUCUCUCUCUUACUUAUCAGAAACAACAUUAAUUGAAUAAAGGUUUUACUGGGGCGGUAAAUCUUAUCAAACAAAUUUUUACCC
rnacentral:rRNA from 1 species